UGUGCAGGUACAGGUGUGUGUGUGGGCACAGGUGUGUGUGCAGGCACAGGUGUGUGUGGGCACAGGUGUGUGUGUGCAGGCACAGGUGUGUGUGUGGGCACAGGUGUGUGUGCAGGCACAGGUGUGUAUGUGGGUACAGGUGUGUGUGUGCAGGCACAGGUGUGUGUGUGCAGGCACAGGUGUGUGUGUGGGCACAGGUGUGUGUGCAGGCACAGGUGUGUAUGUGGGUACAGGUGUGUGUGUGCAGGCAGAAGUGUGUGUGCAGGCACAGGUGUGUGUGUGCGGGCACAGGUGUGUGUGUGCGGGCACAGGUGUGUAUGUGGGUACAGGUGUGUGUGUGCAGGCACAGGUGUGUGUGCGGGCACAGGUGUGUGUGUGCAGGCACAGGUGUGCGUGGACGCACAGCUGUCUGUGCAGGUACAGGUGUGCAGGCACAGGUGUCCAUGUGUCUGUGUGGGCACAGGUGUCUGUGUCUGUGCAGUCAUAGGUGUCCGUGUGUCGAUGCAGGCACAGGUGUGUGUGUCCAUGUGGGCACAGGUGUGUGUGUGUGUGUGUGUCAGUGUGGGCACAGGUGUCUGUGCAGGUACAGUUGUGUGUGUGUGCCCAUGCAGGCACAGGUGUCCAUGCAUCUGUUCAGGCACAGGUGGCCGUGCAGGUACAGGUGUGCAGGCACAGCUGUCCCUGUGUCCGUGCAAGCACAGGUGUCCAUGUGUCCAUGCAGGCACAGGUGUGUGUGUGUGUGUGUGUCUGUGCAGGCACAGGUGUCCGUGUGUCCGUGCAGGCACAGGUGUCCGUGUGUCAGUGCGCGCACAGGUGUCCGUGUGUCUGUGCAGGCACAGGUGUCUGUGUGUCCGUGCAGGCACAGGUGCCCAUGUCUGUGCAGGCACAGGUGUCCGUGUGUCCGUGCAGGUACAGGUGUCCGUGUGUCCGUGCGGGCACAGGU